ACUCACUCCGAGCUCGUGCCUCCCAGCUGGAGCUCGCGCUCUCGCACACACGGACACCGCCGGCGCCGCUGAUCGGUCGCUCUCCUCGGAGUCUUCCUCGUCUUCCUCCCGGCGGACGGACGGAGGGAUGCUGAGCGGGAGAGCUGCUGCUUCCUCAUCAUCCUCAUCAUCACCGUCGUCACCAGCUUCAUCUUCAUCCUCCUCAUCCUCAGCGGCGGCUGUCCUUCUGCUUCAAAAGUUGCGGAGGAUCCGGGCUGACCGGAGGGGUUCGGACCCGCGGGAGUCCGGCACGGCGCGGACCACGCACGGAGCGCGGAUUUAUUUGGCGCACGCGCCUGGAUCGAUGUUUGAUUGAUCUGCCAACGAUCGGGAAGGACCCCCCGCGCGGAUCGGUACCGGCUGCUCCCGGCGGAUCCCGGGACAGUUUAGCGGAACCGCGCAGGUGAACGGCAGGUGUGUGUUGGAGGGGGGGACAGACCGUCAGCUGACAGCCCGGGACCAGCGCUCCCCCCGCGGAGAAGUUCCUGAGGAGCGGGGAGGUGUGGGGGGCGUCCUCCGGUUCCGGUUCUGGUUCCGCUCACAGGAGUGAGGAAAUCUUUCUGUUUAUAUAUUAUAGUCCCCCCCCCCCCCUUAAAUGUGAUCAGUUUGAAUUCACUUUAAACUCCUCAUUGACACCCCGCCCCCCCUCCCCAUCAUUCCUGGUGUGAAUUACCCCCCAGGUUCAUUAGAACCUUCAUCACCUGCUAGAACGGCCCACCUGCUCCGUUUCUGCUGAACUUCCUUCGAUCUUCUGGUGGUUCUGGACCCGGCAGAACUUCUGCUCGGAUGAGCCUCCUCCCGGCCCGGAUGCUCCUCGUCCUCCUCAGACUCUGAAAUCGAGCCUCGCCGCAUCGAUUUUGGUCUCAGAACUGAUCCGCUCGCCGCCGUGCCGUCCAGCCGAGCUUGUCAGCUCUCCUCCUGAAAUGUGAGCCGUCCCGGUUGUUCCAGAUCCGCCCGGACUCGGAGCUGAAGGGCGCCCCGGCAGAGGUCAGAGGUCAGCACAGAACCGCUGAGGCCUAAGAUCUUUGCAUGGACAGCAGCCAGGUCCGGUCCGAGCGCUGAGGUGGCACUUUUGGGAUGGGACUGAACGACAGCAGCCCCGGCGCCAUGCGGAACGGCCGCGGCCUCUCCGACCAGUGGGCCGACUCCGUGGUGGUCCGGCCUCGGACCACUGAGCGCCACAUCACCGUGCACAAGCGGCUGGUGCUGGGCUUCGCCCUGUCCAUCGUCACGCUCAUCAUCGUGACGGCGGUGGCCGUGGUCCUCAGCAUCCGCUUCGAGGACUGCGGCGAGCGCAGGGGGGCUGCGGGGGAGGCGGGGCCCCGGGGGUCAGGGAGGUCAAACGGGAGCAGGGGGGACAGGACGGGCGAGCGCGGGGACGAGGAGGCCGUCCAGCCGUGGAGGAACUCGCGGCUGCCCGGCUCGGUGCGGCCGCGGCACUACGACCUGCGGAUCUCCGUCUACAUGGACAACUUCACCUUCUCCGGAGAGGUCAGCGUGGAGCUGGAGUGUCUGAACGCCACGCGCUUCAUCGUCCUGCACGCCGAUCGCCUGGAGGUGGACAGAGUGUCCGUUACCGCCGAAGGUGCCGGCGGCCGACCCGCCAACAGGCCAGGGGGCGGAGUCAUGCGCAUCCACCGCCACUUCCCCUUCCCGGCCAAUCAGAUGUACGUGGUGGCGCUGCACCGCGAGCUGAAGCCCAUGAGGGUCUACCGGCUGAACAUGAGCUUCGACGCCGCCAUCGAGGACGAGCUGCUGGGCUUCUUCAGGAGCGCCUACAGCCUGCAGAGGGAGAGACGCUUCUUGGCAGUGACUCAGUUCAGUCCGAUCCACGCCCGGAAGGCCUUCCCCUGCUUCGACGAGCCCGUCUACAAGGCCACCUUCUCCCUGACACUCCGCCACGACCCGCAGUACCUGUCCCUGUCCAACAUGCCCGUGGACGCCAGCUCGCUGUCGGACGAGGACGGCUGGGUGACCAAUCGCUUCGCCAGGACGCCGCGCAUGUCCACGUACUACUUAGCCUGGGCUGUCUGCAACUUCACCUACAGGGAGACGCAGACCGACGGCGGCGUGACGAUCCGUCUCUACGCCCGGCCGGACGCCAUUUCGAGCGGCGCUGGAGACUACGCUCUCCACAUCACCAAGAGGCUCCUGGGAUUUUACGAGGACUACUUCAAAGUGCAGUACUCACUGCCCAAGCUAGACUUGCUCGCCGUGCCAAAGCAUCCCUACGCCGCCAUGGAGAACUGGGGCCUGAGCGUCUUCGUGGAGCAGAAGAUCCUGCUGGACGCCGAGGUGUCCUCGUCCUCGUACCAGAUGGAGCUCACCAUGGUGGUCGUCCAUGAGAUCUGCCACCAGUGGUUCGGGGAUCUGGUGACGCCGGUCUGGUGGGAGGACGUCUGGCUGAAGGAAGGAUUCGCUCACUUCUUCGAGUACGUCGGCACCGACUUCCUCUUCCCGAAGUGGAACAUGGAGAAGCAGCGCUUCCUGACCGACGUCCUUCACGAGGUGAUGCUGCUGGACGGUCUAAGCUCCUCCCAUCCCAUCUCCCAGGAGGUGGAGCAGGCUACAGACAUCGACCGAGUCUUCGACUGGAUCGCCUACAAAAAGGGGGCAGCACUGAUCCGGAUGUUGGCCAACGUGAUGGGACAGCCGCUCUUCCAAAAAGGACUGAAUGAUUACCUGCUGAGUCACAUGUACGGCAACGCGGCCCGAGACGACCUGUGGAGCAAACUGUCUCAGGCCAUGCGUUCGGAGGGGCGGGACAUCAACAUCGGGGAGAUGAUGGACAGAUGGACUCUGCAAAUGGGCUACCCAGUUGUUACCAUCAGCAAGAACCAAUCAGAGCAGCGGCCCACUCAUUACAUCACCAUCACCCAGAAGCACUUCCUGUACGGAGAGGAGGCUAGAAAAAACCUCAGUUUACAGUGGCAGAUUCCAUUGACCGUCGCCGUGGGAAACGAAUCCUCUGUGUGUGUGGAGCAUCUGAUCUGGAUCAACAACAGGACAGAAACCCACCGGAUCGGUCAGAUGGAUGACAACACCUGGUUGCUAGGCAACAUCAACCAGACUGGCUACUUCCGCGUCAACUACGACCUCCAGAACUGGAAGCUGCUGAUUCAGCAGCUGCACAGCAGCCCUCAGAUCAUCUCUGUGGGAAACAGGGCGGGGCUUAUCGACGACUCCUUUAACCUAGCCAGAGCCGGUUACCUCCCUCAGGGCGUCCCCUUGCAGCUGAUUGGUUACCUGCCGGAGGAGACGUCCUUCCUGCCGUGGCACGCCGCCAGCCGUGCGCUGUACCAGCUGGACAAACUGCUGGACCGGACGGACGAGUACCGGCUGUUCAGUGACUACGUACUGAAGCAGGUCGCCUCGCGCUAUCAUCAGAUGGGCUGGCCGUCAAACAGCGCCGGGACGGAGGGCAGCGUCCUGCAGGCGUCGUAUCAGACUGAGGAGCUGCAGAGGGAGCUCAUCAUGCUAGCUUGCAGCUUCGGGAACAAACAGUGUCACCGUCAGGCCGUCGCCUACAUCUCUGACUGGAUCUCCAGCAACAAGAACAGGAUCCCCCCGAACAUCCGGGACAUCGUCUACUGCACCGGGGUCAGCCUGAUGGACGAGGACGUGUGGGAGUUCAUCUGGAUGAAGUUUCACUCCACAAACGCCGUUUCUGAGAAGAAGAUCCUGCUGGAGGCGCUGACGUGCUCGGACAACACCUUCCUCCUGAACAGGUUACUCAACCUCUCCCUGAGUUCAGACCUGGUCCCGGAGCAGGAUGUGAUCGACGUCAUCAUCCAUGUGGGCAGGAACCCUCAGGGUCGAAACCUGGCCUGGAAGUACUUCAGGGAGAAGUGGGACAUCCUGAACGCUCGAUACGGAGAAGCUCUGUUCAUGAACUCCAAGCUCAUCGGCGGAGUGACGGAGUUCCUCAACACGGAGAAGGAACUGUACGAGGUUCCAUGAACCCAGAUAGUCUGAAAGCAAAGAGUCUUUGGAAGGUUAAACAGGGGAGACCCGGACUUCCUUCCAAAAUGUCUUCAAAUGGGGACAAUCCCAGAAGAUGUGCUAAUGUGACCUUCGCCCCCUGGUGGUUCCUGUCUGAACUGCGUCCGGUUCCUUCACUCAGACGUCUCAGCUUCCAUCUGAUCUUCUGAUCUUCUCGUCCUCAAAGGGUUUAUUCUGGUUUCCUCCUUGAAGUCUGACUAACUCUCAUCUGCCGUCCGCUCAGCUUUCAGCAGAGACUGUCACGCAGGUCGUGGACCGCGUGGGCGCCCGCCGCGUCAGCUGACCUCCAGGUGGCUGGCGGCUCGGCUGUGACGCCGUCUGAGUCUGCAGUUGAUGACUAACACACCUGCGGAGGGAAUCGGGUCUGGACCGGCGAGAGAGCUGCAGCGCGAACGUUAGAAACCGAUCUGAGCUGUUGCGAAAUUACCCACAAUCCCUCUGGGCAGGCUGAAAUGUUCUAAUGAAAAAGGCCUCAGAAUAUGAAGGUAAAUGUUAAGUUUUCAUUAAACCUUCAAGCAACCACUUCCUGUGAAAAGUAAACGCACAAUUCAGACUUCUGCGUCCAGAACUCACAUUUUUAUGUCAGUUUUUGGGCUUAUCGUACAAAACAUUAAACCUGGAUGAACUUUGACCAAUCAGGUCUCAGAUUUGGUCCUUUAAGUGCCAAUCGUUUUAAAAUUGAUCACUAAAAAGAAAUGAUUAGUUGCGGUUCAUGUCCAUCUGGAUUCUCUGACUCCCAGUCUUUCAUUCAUCAGCUUCAUGAUUGAAGCGUCAGCAGAAGAAAACAGAAACGUUCCUCUUUUCUUCCCACGUAUCAACGUUUGAUUCCGUCUAGGAACAAAGCGGGUCACGGUUCCUCCUGGACGAUGUCGUUCAGCUGAUCAACGCCGAGUCGCCGUUUUUCAUUCAUGGCGGUUCCUGCAGAAUCCUGCAGCCUGAAGGCGUUUUCAGGCAUGAAUCCACGCCGAGACGUCCGACUGCAGGAGAUGGAAACGAGCGUAUUAAAGUUUAAAGAGAUAAAACUGAACUGUUUCUACAAGACGACUCCGACUUUCUCUCACGCUGCACUAAAGUGUCGUCAACCUCUCCUCUUUCCAUCCCAUCAGAGGAUUUAUCUUCAGUUUAACGUUUUUUUCACAAACACGUCUCAAAGAUGGAGAGAAGAUCUAUCCGUCUGCUUGGACUCGUCCGCCUGUCCUCCACAAAUUUGAUUUCUGAUCCGGACUCAGACGGAGGAACGUCGAAGAUGAAGAUGACUGAGCAACAAAAAAAGGCAGCGCCUUGAAGAAGGCCUUGAAGGACGAGAGAGGGAAUAAAAACGCUGGGAGAGAAUGUAAAAGAGGAAAAUAAAAAGUGGGGAAGGACGGGAUUAAAAAUGAAGAUAAAAACUCCGAAAUGAAGCCUGAAGUAGGUCAGGAAAGAAUGGAAGAGAGGAAAGAGGGGAAGAUAAAAAAGGAGUACAGAAGAAGGAAAAGGAAAAGAUGAAAAUGGGAAAAAGAGGCUAAAUUAUUAUUUAAAAAAAUUUUCUGGGAGAAUAGGAAAAAGAGAUGAAAAAGAACAAGAAGGAAAGAUUAAAAUGAAAUAAAAAUACAUAAUAAAAUAAAAGAAAAGAGAUGAUGGAAAGAGGGAACCAAACCCUCCAGAGGAAGAACAUGCAGAUGUCUGGCGCCCCCUGGUGUUUCCUGGAAUCCUCUAUUUUACUCUUUUUUUUCUCUCUAAAGUGCACGUGCGCGCGCACGCUUUUCCAUUAUCAGCUUUACAUAAAGGCUCCACAUCAUUACACUGAUGUGGUUAAAACAUGACAUCCCGUUUGGCUGCUGCUCUGCUGAUGAGCGGCUCAUGAAAAAUGAAAACCAAACUCUCCUCACUGAACUCCUCCAGCAGUUUGUCAGAGAUCUCAGGAGAUUUUUCCAUCCUUUCACUCCAACAUAAAGAGAAAAUUCUGCAGUUUUUCUGACUGAAUUGAAAGCAGAUGCUUUUGUGCUGGAAGAAAAAAACCUUUUUGUUAAAAAUGUGAAAUAGGUGUGAGGAUGAUCUGCUUUUGUGAUGUUUUAUUUGGAGGGAACACCUCAUUCCUCUGUGUCUUUAGGCCGCGACCAACAACAGAACACAAACAGAAUCUAUUUAUCUAAGAUCUCAUAAAUGACCAGAAACAUUUGGCUGAAAUAAAUUCUACAAGAUGUUUUUUAUCAGUUUUUACACCUCUGAACAUUUGCUAGCUCCUCCUCUUCCUCUUUAGCGCCGUUCAGACGCUUCCUUCUGAUCGACCAGGAUGUCAUUUCUGUUCAAAUCUUUCUUUUUUCAUAUUUUAGACUUUCUAAAAACUAUUUAACAUUAAAAAAAGAGUUCAGUCACUGAUGCAGAAAACUGAAGCUUAGAUGUCACUUUUUAAAAAUCUACAUUUAAAAUGUUCAUUUAUUAGAAUUAAAUGACCUUAAUUAGAAAAUAGUCUUAUUUGUGUGUGUAAUUGAUUUGUAACUCAUACAAUACAUUUUGUAUCUAAAUGUGCGUACAAAAAUGACCAAAAAUACAAUUUACACACGCACAACUUGAAAUUACAGCUUGGAGAAACUACAGGCGUUUCUCGAUUUAUUUCUCAUCUGGUACACUGUGACAGCUCAUUGGCUAAAAACACUAACCCCAGAAAACUUGAGCUUCUUAUAACCUUGACUGUUUCUGACUACACUCUGUACAAUGUUUUUUUUUUAUUUAGUGGUGUGUUUUUUGAUUGACAGCUCGGAGAAACUACAGGCAUUUUUCCAUUUAUUUCCCAUCUGGUACACUGUGAUUGGUCAAUGACUCUUUAACUCCAGAAAACUUGAGCUUCCUGUUACCUUGACUGUUUUUGACUAUACCCUGUGUAUUAUUCUGUUUUUAAACACAUUUAGCGCUGUGUUUCUUUGAUUGACAUCUCUGAGAAACUACAGGUGUUUCUCAACUAAUUUCUUAUCUGGUACACUGUGAUAGCUAAUUGGCUAAAAAGACUUUAACUUCAGGGACCAUAAGUAACCUUGACUGUUUCUGACUACACUAUGAGAAAUGUUUUGUUUUUGGACAAAGUUACAGUUUCUACCUGCAGGUUUUCUUCCACCAUAAACACAUUUUUCUGUUUUCACAGAUUUUCUUUUAGCCCGAAGGUCAGAAAAUUCAUAAAAAAUGUAUGGAAAACACCCGAAAGCAGCCUUUUUGUUAAAAACAUCCUUUAUUUUUUUAAGUUGAUGCUAGUUUGUGAUGCACUGCCGCUGGAAUGGAUCCCUGUCCUGCUCUUACAGUGACUGAAGUCACAAAUUAAAAGGAAUAAACAGAAUAAAUUCACUAAUGGCUUU